rnacentral:misc_RNA from 1 species
AAGUCGUAACAAGGUUUCCGUAGGUGAACCUGCGGAAGGAUCAUUAUCACGUAUCCACGUAUAAACCAUUGUGAACCGUCUCUCACCUUUUUGGGUUAGUACAAGGCGUUGUGUUAGUAAGUGCUUUCUAGUGAUUAAGCGCCUAUAACUUAUUAACAUGCAUAACUGUAUUCUCCGGAAGACAUGUUAUCCUAACUAAUUCGAAGAGUGUAAUUAAUCACUAAUUAUUAACCAUUUUAACACAACCUUAUAACUUUUGAACUAAACUUUAUUUCUUACUCUUCGGAGAAGAAAUUUCAUUACGAAACAUAAGAACAACUCUUAGCAACGGAUAUCUUGGUUCUC